GCGGACGUAGCUCAGUUGGAUAGAGCAUCUGGCUACGAACCAGAAGGUCUGGGGUUCGAAUCCCUACGUCCGUACCA
rnacentral:tRNA from 1 species